UACGAAGGGGGCUAGCGUUGUUCGGAAUUACUGGGCGUAAAGCGUGCGCAGGCGGUUCUAUAAGACAGAUGUGAAAUCCCCGGGCUCAACCUGGGAACUGCAUUUGUGACUGUAGAGCUGGAGUACGGCAGAGGGGGAUGGAAUUCCGCGUGUAGCAGUGAAAUGCGUAGAUAUGCGGAGGAACACCGAUGGCGAGGGCAAUCCCCUGGGCCUGUACUGACGCUCAUGCACGAAAGCGUGGGGAGCAAACAGG
rnacentral:rRNA from 1 species